rnacentral:misc_RNA from 1 species
UAUCUUCAACCUUCUUGGUUUCUUGAUCAAGAAGGCUUGGAAUUUGGAGGCUUUUGCUGGCUUUCCUCUCAAAGCCAGCUCCUCUUAAAUGAAUUAGUAGGGUCUACUUUGCUGAUCCUUGACGUGAUAAGAUAACUUUCUACGUCUUGGGCUUUUGCAAACCUGCUUCUAACUGUCUCGUCAGAGACUGAACUAUCAUAUAUAUAAAC